rnacentral:lncRNA from 1 species
UCUCAUCUCCUCCGUCUUACCAAAACCCCACAAACCAGAGUCCCCUUUAAUGGCCGUAGCCUGCGUCCAUGGCAGACCCGCCUGCCACACCUGCAAUUAUCUCCCCAAAUCAGCCCCUCCAACCCACAAAUCCUCUGAAGACUGAAAAAUCAGUCCUAAAUCUGUAUAACAACGGAAAAAGAGUCCCGAAUCGCCAGUAAUGGCUUCAAAAGAUGAAGAUUUGUUCAGAAUCUUUAAGAAAUUCAAAUCGUUUUCUUAACAUUUUGUUCAAAUCCAGACUUUGGAGUCCGGAUUUCAGGCUAUAAAUAGCCGAAUUUCACUUCCUACGGUAGGGCAGCGAAAAAACAAGGGAAAGAUUAGGAGAAAAAGCAAAAUCUUGCGAGAAGUAAAAAUUAGCAAAAAAAAAAAAAAAAGGAGAGAAGAAGCAAAUCCAAAAAAAAAAAACAGUGAGUGAAAGCUUCAAAUCCAUGAGAAAAACAGGAGUGAAAAAGAAGGAGAAAGGGGUCUCAAAUUUCUUAGUCUUCUGUCUGACUUUGUCUAAAUUUAAAGUUCCGAAGUUUGGGUUACUCUUUGGAAUCUCAACGUCGAAGCCUCAGGUUUGCUGCAACCUAAAAGGUGCGGGCCCACCCCUCUCUGGUUCUUGGUUUCGUUUCUUUUCUUCUCAUCUAUUUUUAGCUUUGUCGAAUAUAAGAGUCAUUUUGAUUUCGGAGCUAUGUUGUUACUGCUGCCCUGGCCUUGCAAAUAAGAGUUGUGGUUUGUGAAUCUGAGGAUUGUUUGGUGCUGAAUACAUGAGUUUAUGCAUGUGUUUAUCUCGUUCUUCGAAAAUUUCGAUGAGCAUGAUUUGGAUAUUAAAAGUUCAGUUUGUAUGUGAACGAGUUUGCGAGUAUAUGAAUAAGGCGUUUUCGUUCAAUCGGAUUUAAAGGUUCUUUGUCAAUUUUGAGAGAAAAAAUGAUUUCGAACAUGAAUUCUGAUCAAUUUUUUUUUUAUUGGGUCUAUAGUGAGUUUACACGUGAUUCUUUGAACCUGGGAAUGGAUUUGUAAGUAAAUGGAAAAACCAGUCCUUUAUUUCGUAUUACCUUUCAUUCGUCUUAAUUUGAUGGGUAAAUAAUGUGAUUGGUCCCGAACGUUGAAGUUUUGUUAAUAUGAAGAUAUUCCAUGUGCAAAUAUGGAAGUACGUAAGGCAUGAGAUAUAUGACUUUUCCAUGAAUUUAAGUUUGUCUCGAUUUCGGAUCCAUGGUUGAACAUGAAUUUGAUUCUAAAAAAAAAUAUAUUUUUGUCCACAAGUUUGUCAACAUAAAUCUGAUUUUUGACGUAAACAGGUAGAAAUAUUGUGGUUUGCUCUCUUAGAAUCAAGCUAAAAAUAUGAUCUCUUAUCGAUUUAUUUCAAUUGUUGACUGUUUGCACAAUUCAAUAAUUCGUUCUUAUCCUUGGUCCCAUUCUAUUUGUGGAUAUUGUGAUUUAGAGUAUUAAGUCAAUGUUGAGAUUGCAUUUUUGCCUAUGCGCCUAAAAGGUCAUAUGCCUAUUUUAUUCAUUGAAAAUUAAUAGCUCAUUUUACUGAUCAGUUAGCUCUUAUUUUUUCAGCAUGUAAACAUAAAUGUUUUCUACACUAGGAUCAAUAGGAUAGUGGGUGAACUUGAAUCAAAUAAGCUUCAUUUUUCUUUAGUGACUAAUCCCCAAUCAUUUGAAUUGUUGUUUGUUAAUUAGUUAUCAGCAUGUGAUAGCAAGAAAAGAAAUAUCCCAACUUGCACGAUAUAUGUAUUGUUAAUUAGUUAUCGGCAUGUGAUAGCAAGAAAAGAAAUAUCCCAACUUGCACGAUAUAUGUAGUGUUUUUGCUUCAACACAUGAAGGCUUGCUUUGCAAUGCCUUCGGUUCCUCUCAUUUAUAGAAUGAAUUUUUUACAAAAGUCUUUACAUUACUUACACAUUUUUUAAAAAUCCUAAAAAGUCUAUCCUAAAAAGUCUCCUUAUGAGACAAGAAUUAGUGUCAUAGGCUAAAAGGCUAAAAAGGCUACAAGAAUUAGUGCUAUAGCCUUAAAAAAGUUAAAAAGGCUAAAAAAAGGCUAAAAUCUAUGCAACAAUUCUAUACAACAAUUUUACGUAAAAAUUUAAUAUCUUGUCUUCUAUUAUUACUCCGUUGAUAUCUUCUCAUUAUCGUAUCUGCUGUUUUUCCAUAUCUCCAUUAUUGCUUCUUAUCUUAUCUUCCAGCUGGCAUGCUUAUUUUCUUGAUUCUUUUAUUCUAGGUGGACUUCUGGGAUAAUAUUAUCUUCUCCAUUACAUCUUGAACAUUGAUGGUCUAGAUAUUUAUGUCCAAUUAUCUUACAAUAUCUUGUCAAUAAUCCGUCUGAAAUAAAUCCUUUCUUAAUUGCUCUUGCAGUAGAUUGUUUUUUUGGGUUAAGUAAUGUCAUUAUCUAUUGCCUAACAUCUUCCAUAUCUGCUUGUCGUAGUUCUUUUGAAUUUGAAUAAAUCAUCUGAUGGUCUCUUGAAUAAUAGCUCCAUAUUGGGUUUCCAUUGGUAUAAUUAUUUGCUAAUUCUUGAAUAAUUGUAGCUAGUCCAAUGAGUCGUUUAUUUGCGUAG